UUUUUUUUUUUUGCUGACAGUGAAAUGAACUAAGAAGCUAGGGAGGAGCUAUCCUAGAUCAAAACUAAGAUCCCAGAUCCCAGCUCUCCUAGUAGUUUUCUCUUUGCAGGACCAAUCUUACAAAGAGACAGCAUACUCCGCUUUUUACUUAGUGUCAGUUGAGGCAUACUCUGAAAAGUUAUUUCCCCUAAAAUAGCUUUCAAAUUAUUAUGGUAUUUGAAUUUCAAGUUUAGAAAUUCUUUUUGACUCAAAGUACAAACUUCAUAUAAUGGUUAUGAUGUUUUUAGUAUACGUAUUUUUGUGACUUAUCUCUUUCAGCAAUAGAUACCCACAGUCAGCUCCUAGUAAAAUGGCUAGAGAAAGACUGAAAGAAAAGUUUAUAAAUCUGUGUAGGCAUAGAGUAAAAACACAUAAUGAUGCAUUACUAAUAUAAGAAUAAGGCUUCUUUGAUUUUGAGUAUCCUAACUCCAAACCUAGUGUUCUUUUCACUCCAUUAUCCUGCUGUUCAUAGCAAACAAGACCCAUAAUGAUACGUCUUUCAUUUAUUUCAGUUCUGCCAAGGAAAGAGAAAAUACCUUUUAAUCCCAGGGAAAGGAUUGCAAUCACCACAUUAUAAGCAUAACCUGAGGUUGGAGAGGACCACUUGGGAGCCUGUUAACCAAAACUAGAAGGUAACUUCUGGGAUGGACGGAGGUUCCCUUGAAGCAGUGCCAACCUAAAUCUACCUCAGGUAAGUAGUUAGAUUAACUUUUUCAAGAUUUCCGACCAAACAAGACAACUUGUAUUCAGUUGAUGUAUUCCUAUGCUUUAAUGUUUUUGUUUGCCCUUAAUUCUUAAAUAAACAUUUGUUCUGAAAAACUCCA